GGAUCCAGACUUUGAUCAUGGCUCAGGACGAACGCUGGCGGCGUGCCUAACACAUGCAAGUCGAGCGGAGACAGGGAGUAGCUUGCUACGAGCUGUUUUAGCGGCGGACGGGUGAGUAACGCGUGAGCAACCUUUCCCAGACAGGGGAAUAACACACCGAAAGGUGUACUAAUACCGCAUAAGACCACGGAAUCACAUGGUUCUGGGGUAAAAGAUUUAUCGGUUUGGGGUGGGCUCGCGUCCGAUUAGGUAGUUGGUGAGGUAACGGCCCACCAAGCCGACGAUCGGUAGCCGACCUGAGAGGGUGAUCGGCCACAUUGGGACUGAGACACGGCCCAAACUCCUACGGGAGGCAGCAGUGGGGAAUAUUGGGCAAUGGAGGAAACUCUGACCCAGCAACGCCGCGUGGAGGAAGAAGGUUUUCGGAUCGUAAACUCCUGUCCUUGGAGACGAGUAGAAGACGGUAUCCAAGGAGGAAGCCCCGGCUAACUACGUGCCAGCAGCCGCGGUAAUACGUAGGGGGCAAGCGUUGUCCGGAAUAAUUGGGCGUAAAGGGCGCGUAGGCGGCUCGGUAAGUCUGGAGUGAAAGUCCUGCUUUUAAGGUGGGAAUUGCUUUGGAUACUGUCGGGCUUGAGUGCAGGAGAGGUUAGUGGAAUUCCCAGUGUAGCGGUGAAAUGCGUAGAGAUUGGGAGGAACACCAGUGGCGAAGGCGACUAACUGGACUGUAACUGACGCUGAGGCGCGAAAGUGUGGGGAGCAAACAGGAUUAGAUACCCUGGUAGUCCACACUGUAAACGAUGAAUGCUAGGUGUAGGGGGUAUCGACCCCUUCUGUGCCGCAGUCAACACAAUAAGCAUUCCGCCUGGGGAGUACGGCCGCAAGGUUGCAACUCAAAUGAAUUGACGG
rnacentral:rRNA from 1 species